rnacentral:tRNA from 1 species
GGAGAGGUCAGAUAGUGGUUCAUUCUACGCGCUUGGAAAGCGCGCGAGCGCAAGCUCACGCGGGUUCGAAUCCCGCCCUCUCCGCCA